GCGACCCCAGGUCAGGCGGGGCUACCCGCUGAGUUUAUAGCAUAUCAAUAAGCGGAGGAAAAGAAACUUACCAGGAUUCCCCUAG
rnacentral:rRNA from 1 species